rnacentral:misc_RNA from 1 species
GUAGGUGAACCUGCGGAAGGAUCAUUACUAGAGCAAAGGACAGACAGCGCCCUAUAGAGCUUGCUCUAUGGCGGGCUACCCUUUAGCGGUGUAUUCCGCGGGGGUUUAGAGUCGUCGAACCUCUCGGAGAAGUGCGGUCCCAAACUCCACCCUUGAAUAAAUUACCUUUGUUGCUUUGGCAGGCCGCCUCGUGCCAGCGGCUUCGGCUGUUGAGUGCCUGCCAGAGGACCACAACUCUUGUUUUUAGUGA